GACGAACGCUGGCGGCGUGCUUAACACAUGCAAGUCGAACGGAAAGGCCCUGCUUUUGUGGGGUGCUCGAGUGGCGAACGGGUGAGUAACACGUGAGUAACCUGCCCUUGACUUUGGGAUAACUUCAGGAAACUGGGGCUAAUACCGGAUAGGAGCUCCUGCUGCAUGGUGUGGGUUGGAGAGUUUCGGCGGUUGGGGAUGGACUCGCGGCUUAUCAGCUUGUUGGUGGGUUAGUGGCUUACCAAGGCUUUGACGGGUAGCCGGCCUGAGAGGGUGACCGGCCACAUUGGGACUGAGAUACGGCCCAGACUCCUACGGGAGGCAGCAGGGGGGAAUAUUGCACAAUGGGCGGAAGACUGAUGCAGCAACGCCGCGUGCGGGAUGACGGCCUUCGGGUUGUAACCCGCUUUCGCCUGUGACGAAGCGUGAGUGACGGUAAUGGGUAAAGAAGCAACGGCUAACUACGUG
rnacentral:rRNA from 1 species